rnacentral:rRNA from 1 species
GUGCCAGCCGCCGCGGUAAUACGUAGGUGGCAAGCGUUGUCCGGAUUUAUUGGGUUUAAAGGGUGCGUAGGCGGUUUUAUAAGUCAGUGGUGAAAUACAACAGCUUAACUGUUGAGGUGCCAUUGAUACUGUAAGACUUGAGUACAGACGAGGUAGGCGGAAUUGACGGUGUAGCGGUGAAAUGCUUAGAUAUCGUCAAGAACACCGAUAGCGAAGGCAGCUUACUAGACUGUAACUGACGCUGAGGCACGAAAGUGUGGGGAUCAAACAGGAUUAGAUACCCCGGUAGUCC